UACGAAGGGGGCUAGCGUUGUUCGGAAUUACUGGGCGUAAAGCGCGCGCAGGCGGUCUUCCAAGUCAGUGGUGAAAGCCCGGAGCUCAACUCCGGAACUGCCAUUGAAACUGUUAGACUUGAGGACGAGAGAGGUGAGUGGAAUUCCCAGUGUAGAGGUGAAAUUCGUAGAUAUUGGGAAGAACACCGGUGGCGAAGGCGGCUACACGUGGCUGGUAUCGACGCUCAGGCGCGGACAGCGUGGGGAUCGAAACAAGG
rnacentral:rRNA from 1 species